GAUGAACGCUAGCUACAGGCUUAACACAUGCAAGUCGCGGGGCAGCAUGAAGGAUGCUUGCAUCCUUUGAUGGCGACCGGCGCACGGGUGAGUAACGCGUAUCCAACCUGCCUGUUACCACGGCACAGCCCGUCGAAAGGCGGACUAAUGCCGUAUGUGGUCCUUUGCGGGCAUCUAAUUAGGACUAAAGGUUCGGCGGUAACGGAUGGGGAUGCGUCCGAUUAGCUAGACGGCGGGGUAACGGCCCACCGUGGCUACGAUCGGUAGGGGUUCUGAGAGGAAGGUCCCCCACACUGGAACUGAGACACGGUCCAGACUCCUACGGGAGGCAGCAGUGAGGAAUAUUGGUCAAUGGGCGGAAGCCUGAACCAGCCAAGUAGCGUGAGGGAAGACUGCCCUAUGGGUUGUAAACCUCUUUUGUGCGGGGAUAAGUGUGGGACGUGUCCCAUAUUGCAGGUACCGCACGAAUAAGGACCGGCUAAUUCCGUGCCAGCAGCCGCGGUAAUACGGAAGGUCUGGGCGUUAUCCGGAUUUAUUGGGUUUAAAGGGAGCGCAGGCCGUCCUUUAAGCGUGCUGUGAAAUGCCGCGGCUCAACCGUGGCACUGCAGCGCGAACUGGAGGACUUGAGUACGCACGAGGUAGGCGGAAUUCGUGGUGUAGCGGUGAAAUGCUUAGAUAUCACGAAGAACUCCGAUUGCGAAGGCAGCUUACCGGAGCGCAACUGACGCUGAGGCUCGAAAGCGCGGGUAUCAAACAGGCUUCGNUCCCCUGGUNGUCCGCGCGGUAAACGAUGGAUGCCCGCCGUGGGAUUAUGAUUUUCAGCGGCCAAAGCGAAAGCGUUAAGCAUCCCACCUGGGGAGUACGCCGGCAACGGUGAAACUCAAAGGAAUUGACGGGGGCCUGCACAAGCGGAGGAACAUGUGGUUUAAUUCGAUGAUACGCGAGGAACCUUACCCGGGCUUGAAUUGCAGGAGAACGAUCCAGAGAUGGUGAGGCCCUUCGGGGCUCCUGUGAAGGUGCUGCAUGGUUGUCGUCAGCUCGUGCCGUGAGGUGUCGGCUCAAGUGCCAUAACGAGCGCAACCCCUGUCCAUAGUUGCCAUCAGGUUUAGCUGGGCACUCUGUGGAGACUGCCGCCGUAAGGUGUGAGGAAGGUGGGGAUGACGUCAAAUCAGCACGGCCCUUACGUCCGGGGGUACACACGUGUUACAAUGGGACAUACAGCGAGUUGGAUGUGCGCAAGUACGUCCGGAUCAAUAAAGUGCCUCUCAGUUCGGACUGGGGUGUGCAACCCGACCCCACGAAGCUGGAUUCGCUAGUAAUCGCGCAUCAGCCAUGGCGCGGUGAAUACGUUCCCGGGCCUUGCACA
rnacentral:rRNA from 1 species